rnacentral:rRNA from 1 species
UUGGCUACGUUCGGAAGGGAUAACCGCUGAAAGCAUCUAAGCGGGAAGCCUUCUCCAAGAUGAGGAUUCCUUGACACUGUUAUGGUGUUGUGACCCCCCAUGUGGAUGACGUGGUGGAUAGGCCGGGUGUGGAAGCCGUGCGAGCGGUGGAGCUGACCGGUACUAACGGGGGAACGGCA